CAGUCGAACGAAACUUCUUUAUCACCGAGUGCUUGCACUCACCGAUACAGAGUUGAGUGGCGAACGGGUGAGUAACACGUGGGCAACCUGCCCAAAAGAGGGGGAUAACACUUGGAAACAGGUGCUAAUACCGCAUAACCAUAGUUACCGCAUGGUAACUAUGUAAAAGGUGGCUAUACUACCGCUUUUGGAUGGGCCCGCGGCGCAUUAGCUAGUUGGUAGGGUAAAGGCUUACCAAGGCAAUGAUGCGUAGCCGAAUUGAGAGGUUGAUCGGCCACAUUGGGACUGAGACACGGCCCAAACUCCUACGGGAGGCAGCAGUAGGGAAUCUUCCACAAUGGGCGAAAGCCUGAUGGAGCAACGCCGCGUGGGUGAAGAAGGUCUUCGGAUCGUAAAACCCUGUUGUUAGAGAAGAAAGUGCGUGAGAGUAACUGUUCACGUUUCGACGGUAUCUAACCAGAAAGCCACGGCUAACUACGUGCCAGCAGCCGCGGUAAUACGUAGGUGGCAAGCGUUAUCCGGAUUUAUUGGGCGUAAAGGGAACGCAGGCGGUCUUUUAAGUCUGAUGUGAAAGCCUUCGGCUUAACCGGAGUAGUGCAUUGGAAACUGGGAGACUUGAGUGCAGAAGAGGAGAGUGGAACUCCAUGUGUAGCGGUGAAAUGCGUAGAUAUAUGGAAGAACACCAGUGGCGAAAGCGGCUCUCUGGUCUGUAACUGACGCUGAGGUUCGAAAGCGUGGGUAGCAAACAGGAUUAGAUACCCUGGUAGUCCACGCCGUAAACGAUGAAUGCUAAGUGUUGGAGGGUUUCCGCCCUUCAGUGCUGCAGCUAACGCAAUAAGCAUUCCGCCUGGGGAG
rnacentral:rRNA from 1 species